rnacentral:misc_RNA from 1 species
UCCAAUUUAUCAUCAGCGGUUCCACUAGAGUGCUCAGCCGAACUGUAGCAACUAACGGUAAGGGUUGCGCUCGUUGCGGGACUUAACCCAACAUCUCACGACACGAGCUGACGACAGCCAUGCAGCACCUGUGUAACCGUCCGUAUUUCUACGGAACCCAAUAUUUCUGCCAGUGGCAGUUACAUGUCAAACCCAGGUAAGGUUCCUCGCGUAGUGUCGAAUUAAACCACAUGUUCCACCGCUUGUGCGGACCCCCGUCAAUUCCUUUGAGUUUUAAUCUUGCGACCGUACUUCCCAGGUGGAUCACUUAACGCGUUAGCUUCGACACAGAUUCUGCUAAGCAGAACCCACAUCCAGUGAUCAUCGUUUACAGCGUGGACUAC